rnacentral:rRNA from 1 species
CCUACGGGCGGCUGCAGUGGGGAAUCUUCCGCAAUGGGCGAAAGCCUGACGGAGCAAUGCCGCGUGAGUGAUGAAGGAAUUCGUUCCGUAAAGCUCUUUUGUUUAUGACGAAUGUGCAGGUUGUGAAUAAUGAUCUGUAAUGACGGUAGUAAACGAAUAAGCCACGGCUAACUACGUGCCAGCAGCCGCGGUAAUACGUAGGUGGCAAGCGUUGUCCGGAAUUAUUGGGCGUAAAGAGCAUGUAGGCGGUUUUUUAAGUCUGGAGUGAAAAUGCGGGGCUCAACCCCGUAUGGCUCUGGAUACUGGAAGACUUGAGUGCAGGAGAGGAAAGGGGAAUUCCCAGUGUAGCGGUGAAAUGCGUAGAUAUUGGGAGGAACACCAGUGGCGAAGGCGCCUUUCUGGACUGUGUCUGACGCUGAGAUGCGAAAGCCAGGGUAGCGAACGGGAUUAGAUACCCCGGUAGUC